AACGACGCCCUCCCCUGUGCACCCCUAGCCCAACGCCGCCCUGCCCUGGCACCCUAUAGCCCAACGCCACCCUCCCCUGCGCACCCCUAGCCGUACGCUACUCUCCCCUGCGCACCCCUAGCCCAACGUCGCCCUCCCGCACGGGAGAGUAGCGUACGGCUAGGAGGGCCCAGGGGAGGGUGGCGCUGUGCAGGGGAGGGUGGCGCUGCGCGGGGUGGGGCAGGGAAGGGCGGCGCUGCACGGGGCAGCGCAGGGAAGGGUGGCGCUGCGAAGGGAGGGUGGCGCUGC
rnacentral:lncRNA from 1 species